AGUGAACGCUGGCGGUAGGCCUAACACAUGCAAGUCGAACGGCAGCACAGUAAGAGCUUGCUCUUACGGGUGGCGAGUGGCGGACGGGUGAGGAAUACAUCGGAAUCUACUUGUUCGUGGGGGGUAACGUAGGGAAACUUACGCUAAUACCGCAUACGACCUACGGGUGAAAGCAGGGGAUCUUCGGACCUUGCGCGAUUGAAUGAGCCGAUGUCGGAUUAGCUAGUUGGCGGGGUAAAGGCCCACCAAGGCGACGAUCCGUAGCUGGUCUGAGAGGAUGAUCAGCCACACUGGAACUGAGACACGGUCCAGACUCCUACGGGAGGCAGCAGUGGGGAAUAUUGGACAAUGGGCGCAAGCCUGAUCCAGCCAUACCGCGUGGGUGAAGAAGGCCUUCGGGUUGUAAAGCCCUUUUGUUUGGAAAGAAAAGCAGCAGGUUAAUACCCCGCUGUUCUGACGGUACCCAAAGAAUAAGCACCGGCUAACUUCGUG
rnacentral:rRNA from 1 species